AAUUAUUGUGUAAGAGAUUAUUGAGAAAAUCAUGAGCAUAAGGAAUGGCAAUAAGGAGGAGGUAUGCAGAUAACUAUUACAGAUGCACUGAGGGAUAAUUUACUAUGUACGGAAUGUAUGACAUUUAGUCAAUCACAAGUUUAUAUCCUUCGAAAUACUGGAAAGACGAAAAAGUGCAGCAACCCACAUCUAGUUGUGGUCAGCUUGAAAGUGAAAUAUACUUGACACUAGAGCAUCACAAAAUGUAUGCCAUACAAUACUUAUGUGAUAUAUACUUUACAUUAUGAAGAGAUCACAUGUGCAUUACACUAUAACUAAAUAAUAUAGAAAAAUUUAUCUAGCAACUAUCAUAAUAUGUUAUUGAUCACAGUUGAGGCCUUCUUCCUCACAACAUCCAGAACUUCACCAAUUUUCUCAUCACAAGAAGAGUGAUGCGGAAUGUGCAAGUCAAAAAAUGCCAAAAGGAGACAAUGAUGAGGUCCUUAAAGUACUAAGGGAAAUUUGGUCGAAACAGGACAGCCUAGAAAGACAAUUUGUAGACCAUCGUGAUAUUGUUCAAGCUGAGCUCAAAAAAAUUGGAAUUUCUGAUAACUCAACAGAGUUUGCUACCGAAAAAGAUUAUUUUGAAUUUUGUGAUAACUCAACAGAGUGCAAAGCAGGGUGUGAAGAACCUGACCUGACCCUGGAAGGCAGUGCUCAAUUAGAAGGGUCGGGCUUCUACCAUUCUUCAUAUAUUGCAAAUCAUCAAGGUCUGUUUAGUAAGCUAGAUGACUUGUGUCAAGCAAACUUUUGUCAAGCAUUUUGGCAAAGUUCAGUGCAGGCAGGGGUCUGGAAGUGCAUGUCGUAGUAUAUAUGGUGGUUUUGUGAAAUGGUGUAUGGGAAAAAAUGAUGGUGGAAGUGACAGUAUUGCAGGACAGCUUGCUGAUGAGGUACAUUGGGAUGAUCUUGUUAUUAUCAUAGCUGUGACUGUAGUGCCAAGUCGAAUAUUGAAAAUGGAGGAGGCUAUCAAGAAACAUGAUUUUGAAUCCUUUGCCAGAUUAACUUGUACAGAUAGCAACCAGUUUCAUGCUAUAUGAAUGAUACAUCACACAGCCUGGUGGAGAAGUGGAACCAUUCGGAGGGAACCCCACAGGUAUAUUGUGUUCUUGCUCAAAAUCUGUGACCUUCUUUUAAAUUAUUCCCGACUGUACCGUUGUUUCCUAGGUCACAGUCAUGUGAUGCUAUCUAAUGAGUACUGCUCUAAAGUACCAUGAUAUUAGAUUGGUAAGCUUAGCUGUGACAUGGCAGUACGAGAUGUUUUUACUGCACUGGCAAUUUAAAGAGUGAACUUGGAGUAUCUGUAGAUCUUUCUGGAACAUCAACUGAUGAAUUUAUGGUUUGUGUUUUCAGAUCCUUUGUUAACUUUGAAAAUUCCAUUGUGAUAUGUGAAUGUAUGAACUACUGCUGGGAUUAUUCUAGCAUUAGAUUUUCCAAAAUUACUCUAUGGAUAUGAUAUUGAUAUCUUUUUACUAAGCAUGUAAAGAUUGAGCAACGAAGGUAGCACGCAAGAAAUAUCUGACUCUACACAGUAUGCUAGUCUUAAUGGUAUUAUUUAUUGUACUGUUUGUGUCAUCUGGUAUGAUUUCAUUUAACUGCAAAACCAGCUGAUGCAGUUGUUCUCAUACUGAAACCAUUUCUGAUUGCAGACCUACCAGACAUGUUUAUGCUCUUAGGCUUAUACUUUGGUAUUUGAACUUUUGCAAUGAGAGGUUGCGUACACUUUUGAUGCUGGGCCUAACGAUGUCCUAAUAGCAUGAAACCGCAAAACUGCCACCCUUCUCCUUCAGAGGCUCUUAUACUGCUUCCCUCCACAAGACAAUGCUAUAUGGUUGACGAUAAAUCGAUCCCAAGUGAUGCUGGAUUGCAAUCCAUAGCCGACGUUGAGGCCCUUCCAACCCCUCCCGAGAUGAAGACACCAAAUCAGAAAUUCAAGGGUGAUGUUAGCUACCUCAUCUGCAGCAAGCCUGGGGCUGGCCCAAAAGUACUCGUUGACGAGAGCCAAGCGCUGAUCGAUUCAGCCACGGGCUUCGCAAAAGGAGUAAAAUUUUGGAUGGUUAUUUUGAUACACCAGGCUACUGUUAUACUGGCUUCUGUGUUCAGAUCAAUGCAGAUUUAUCAUGGUUAAAAAAGGCGCUAAGCGAGUGGUGAGGCAUCACUAAGAGGAAUUGAAGCUUAAGUGUAGCUUAAGUGUCGUUCUGUACGGACUCUGUUUUUGAAAAAUUGGCGGGAUUUUUGGAGAAAAUCAAGCGGAAUUGGAGAAGUUGAGAGAAUGUUGCUCGCCCAGGCAAAAUUGGCGGGAUCCUCGGAGGAAAUCAAGAGGAAUUUGAGAAAUUGGAGCGCUUAAGUAGCCGCUUAGGGUCUGAGCAAGGCGUUAUCCCACCCAUCGGAGCUUUAGCCCGCUUUAGCGAUGCUUUUUUGAACCAUGAGACUUGUAUGUCCUACUCUGUAGGACUAUAUUUGUUCCGUAUAGUUUUCACAUCAUUUUUGUCUCCCAUUGUUGUAGUGCCACCGCUUA